UUUUGCUGUGACUCACUCAACCUGGGUGUGAUGUUUUUAUAAAUAUGGUAUCCAUCACAACCUCCUUGAGUGAGCGAUGGCGAAA
rfam:Megaselia scalaris, Durham, NC isolate 2 -- Noor lab, WGS project CAQQ02000000 data, contig: ctg0000135516